rnacentral:lncRNA from 13 species
ACGUUCAUGUACUUCGAGCACCAUAGAUCCACGCUCUCUAAGUAGCCAUUGUGUUCUGUAUAUAUAUACUUCUUCAGCUUUACACUGAACCCUGAAACAAUUACAGUCGGACUAUUUUCACUGACGGACCGGAAACUGUGGUCCGACUGAAAAAACAGUUCCCCUUGGAAACAACGAAACGUUGACUCGCUUGUGCAUCAUUUCCAUAUAUAGUUAAAGCGUGUUAGCGUUAAAUUAAUCAGGAAUUUUGUGUAACCUGACUUGCCUUUCUCGUCACGCUUGGAGAACAAAGUUCCAUAACUUUAGUCAACGUUUGGAGUCUUUCUCUCUGUCACCCAUGAAGUGCUCUUCUCCUCACCUGCGCCCAACAACUGUACAACAGCCAACAUGCCCCGUUUCCUACUGUCGAAGCCAAGAGGAGAAGACCAUCCUGACGACAGAAGAGGUUCACCUACAGCUACUGCUGUCUGCCGUGGCCUCCCAGGUGUCCCAUCCGGAGAACAUGGAAGAGAACACCCUGAUUAUUUUACGAAAGGACGUACUCCGCUCUGCCACCAAGGCAUUCAGCUGGAAACUAUUCAACCUCAGAGGUUCAAUGUGAGGGGUCAGUCGACCAACAUGGUCAAACACAGGAGUUCCUUCAGCUGUUGAUGGCAGCCAUCCAAGACUGUUGUUUGUUCCAGGGGCCAGACCACUGCAAAAGCCUAGUAUUGGACUAGUAUUGUAAGAUCGCACUGUUUAUAUGUUCAAAUAUGACACUUUCUAUCUAGUCCUAGAACUCUGUCCUGUUGUAUCACUUUCAGUGUACUCCAAGCAGAGUGAACUAUAAGGUCCUAUAUGGUAUAUUACUACAUAGAUAGGUGGCCUCUUAUGCACUUUCCAUAGUAAACCCCCCCCCCC